CAUUUGUUGAUUGACAGUAGCAAAACCCCGCCCACAGGCCGCCACGCAACAAAACGACGACGAAACGCUGCCAGGUGCCGAAAGAGGCCAUUCGGCCCUCUUACCUCAUUCCAAACCAUCGGCCUCCAGGUCUCUCUUUUCUACAACACUCCUCACGCUCCCAAUGUUUCCUGGAUGACUCAGAGCGAGAAUCCACAUUGUAAAAGUGCCUUCAGAGGUCAGUUGUCUGUCUGCUAUCAUCAGGCAGUACCACGGUCCUGGGGCUCUGAACACAGAAACUCUUCCCACCAGCAUGGCAUCAAAUAUCGUUAAGGUCCAGCUCCUUCUCCUCAUGGCUGGCUCCUGCAUGGCUGGAACCAACUUCCGCUUGUCCUCAGCAACGAUGGUGGCCACCGAGGGCUCGCCGGUCUCCCUGCAAUGCCGGUUCUCCUACCGGCACGACAACCGGUACUUCGUGUGGCAGUACGUGCCUCCCGGUGGGCAAGGAGCCCUCAGGAGGCUGAUGUACUGGGAGCCCGGCUCCCAGCAGCCCGUAUACCCAGCCGGGAGCACCAACCGUUACCUGGGCACCAAGGACCUCCACCGCGGGACCAUGUCCUUGCAGAUCAGCCGCGCCAUGUCCAGCGACGCCAGCCGGUACUUCUGCCAGAUGACCGACAACCUCUGGGACGUCAAUGCCACAGACUGGUGCGGAUGCGGGAUCUCCCUCUCCGUCGAGCGCAUUCGGCCUCCCAGUGUGCAGCUGCUGGCCCCGUUCCUGGACGGGGCGGUCUGGUCAGCGAGGGCUACGCUCAUCUGCAAGGCGGUGGGGUUUUACCCCGAGAAGAUCUCCUUCCGGUGGAUGGUGGACAGAAGGUCCCACUCCCUGCCCACGGAGCAGGACGAGCCGGUCAGGAGCAGCGGCGGCACCUACAGCGCUACCAGUCGGAUACACAUCCCGUUCCUGGAGUGGGACCGGAUCAGGAGUGUCUACUGCUUGGUCACACACAUCUCCAAAGCCACACACUUCGUCCAGGAGUUCCGGAGAAGAGCCGUUCCAGCCCCACAGCCGCCGAUCACGUUCCUGCUACGGCCCCCUGAUACCCCCUCCGGGGACGGAGCCAGCGUCACGCUCACCUGUGGGGCCAGCGGAUUCUACCCAGUAUCUCUCUCCUUUGGCUGGGAGGUGGAGGGGAGGCUGGUGGACUCAGGGGUCUGGAACACGGAGCCGGUGAGAACCCCCAACGGCACCUACCUGGCCAUUAGCACUCUGAACACCCCUCGAUUCCUCUGGAGCUCGGGGGCUCGCUACACGUGUCUGAUCACCCACCAGGAGCUGGAUCAGCCCAUCAGAAAGAACAUCAGCCUCAACGAUAGCUGCCAACCGACCUGGUGUCCCAGGGAGAUCAGCUGGCUGUGGUUAGCAGCUGCCAUGGCCACGAAGGUGAUCUACACUGGCAUCGUGCUGUGCAUUUUCCAUGGCAUCUGGACGUGUUGGCAGAGGAGGAGAGGAUCCAUUCCAGAAUCUCUCUGGGUAAACCUGGACAUCCCAAUGGAGAAGAUCCCAGAAGACGUUGGGAAAGGGAUGGAGGAAUUCGGGGACGAGGAGAGAUACUCGGAAAUGUUGACACCAGGGAAUUUGAAGCUUGAUACAAGCUCCACGACAGCUCCAUUGAUGUAGACGGGGAUCCUGUGAACGAGCAGAGGUGGUGGAGAGAGAGAGAGAGAGAGAGAGGGAUUUCAGCCAACAGCGCGAGACCAGAGAACGUUCUCGACCCUGGGCCCCGCAGCAGCUCCUGAAACUCAAACCCGAACUUCCCCGCGGCCGCCGGGUCGGUGGAAUCCAGAGAGGGACGAGGUGCGGCGGUGUCUGGAAUGCUCAGCUCUAUGCGUACACCUUCCCCACCCCCCAUGCGUACACCUUCCCCACCCCCCAUGCGUACACCUUCCCCACCCCCCAUGCGUCUGCCGUGCCUUCCUGUACCCCCGUCUGCACUCUCCACACCAGGUAGAACACAGCCAGCUGUCCGUUGGCAGUCCUGUGGUGUGGGGGAAUGAAGAACAGACAGCAGCCUUCACGGAAACAGGCCCUUCGGCCCAGAGUGCCUGUGCUAACCAAAAUACUAAAUAAAACUAAAUGCCUUCUUCCUGGACAUGUCUAACAGCUUCUUAAACACCUCUAUCAUAUCUACAUCCUCCAUUACCCUUGGCAGAAUAUUCCAGGCGCCCACCACUCUGUGUUAAAAAAGAAGCCCCACUCAUCUCCCUUUCAUCUUAAAUGUGUACCCUGUGGUAUUAGACAUUACCACCCUGGGGGAUAAAGAUACUGGCUGUCUGCACCAUCUCAGAUUCAGAUUCAGAUUAUUGUCAUUUACAAACCACAAAUGCACUGCGGUUAAAAAAUGAGACAACGUUCCUCCAGAAAAACACAUAAUAAAACAGACUACACCAGAAAAUCCGCAUAACAUCUGGCAAUCCCCAAUCCAGAGUCCGGAGAGGCUGCUGCGUAUUAAUAUCGCGCUACUGUCUUUCUGCGUUCCCCGGAAAGGAGCUCCAAACCCACCAGACAAAACAAGACCAAAAACUAAAGCUACAAGACCUGCACAAAACCACAUAGUUACAACAUAUAGUUACAACAGUGCAAACAAUAGCAUAAUUGAUAUAUAAAAAAACAGACCAUGGGCACAGUAAAAAUAGUCCAAAGACGUUAAAAGACCAUAAGUUCAAAAGAAAUCACCACACAGUUUCCACAAGUCCUCAGGGUCCCAGCUGACUCGCCAUCCCACACAGGCAGCAGAAGGAAAUACCCCCGCUAUGGACUUCCACGGUGCUGCCCGACUCAGCACACAUUGAAAGCUCUGUCGAACCCAGCCUCGCAGACACAGCACACAAUGAAAGCUCUGUCGAACCCAGCCUCGCAGACUCAGCACACAAUGAAAGCUCUGUCGAACCCAGCCUCGCAGACACAGCACACGGUGAAAGCUCUGUCGAACCCAGCCUCGCAGACACAGCACACAAUGAAAGCGACCUGACCUGACCGCACUUGUCUCCAAGUCCGUCGAACCUCUGAGCCUCUGACCAUCACCUCUGGCACAGCUUCUCCGAGCACCAUCCUCUGCCGAGCGUAGUAAGAUGCCCCCGCCAAUGCGACCCCGAGGACUGGGGGCCUGUUCUUCCCAGCAGAGACCCGGACCUCACAGCAGCAGCAGCAAUGAAGAGGGUCUUCCUGGAGAUUUCCAGAUGUUCCUCCGUUCUCCCACGUCCCUUUCUGAUCCGAUUAUGAUUGCGUACAGCACCCCGCUUCACAAAUAACAGAUAUGAGCUCCAGAUAAUCACACUCACGUCCCCAUCUACAUCAAUGGAGUUGUAGUGGAGCGUGUAUCAGCUCUGUGCCUUUCCUAACUAUCUCAGGUCUCCCUUCAGCCUCUGCCACUCCAGGAAAAACAACUGAAGUUUGUCUGACCUCUCCUCACACCCUCUAAUCCAGGCAGCGUUCGAGUGAACUCCUUCCGCACCCUCUCCAAAACCGCCACAUCUGUCCUAUAGUGAGACAACCAGAAGCGAGUGUGUUACUCCAGGUGCCGCCAGACCAGAGCCUUAUUCAACUGCAACGACAAUCUGGCAUGCAGAACCUCACCAUCCUGUACAUCCUCAUCAGGGCCCCCACCAUGGUCCGGUGUUCCAGGUCUAUCCUUGUAACCGAAGUCCUCCCUCCCCGGGAAUCUCCCCUGCACUCUCUCCAAAGAAUCAGGUUUGUUUCACUGACGUCAGCACGAAACUUCUUGUUUUUGCAGCAGUGUAACAGUGCAAAAGGCACAAAAGUUACCCCAAAUUACAAAUAAAUAACUGAAAAGAAAUAACGAGGACUGUCCCGAACUCUGAUGGUGGAGGGGAAGAAGCUGUUCCUGAAUUUCUGAGUGUGUGUCUUUGGGCUCCUGUACCUCCUCCCUGAUGGUAACAGUGAGAAGAGGGCAUGGCCCAGUUGGCAAAGGGCCUCAGUGGUGGAUACCACCUUCCUGAGGCACUACCUCUGGAAGAUGUCCUCAAUGGUGUCGAGGCUUGUGCUUGUGAUGGAGCUGGCCAAGUCCAUUGCCCUCUGCAGCCCACAGACCAGUACCGGCCCCUUGGCCCACACUGCCCUGCCAACCAUUAAGCAGACUCCAGUGUCAACCUCACCCUCCAUUCCCCAAAGGUUACAGGAGGAAGAGUGUUUGGGGGUGGUGGGGGGAAAGAAGAGAGAAGAUACUAAAUCAGCCGUGAUGGAAUGGCAGAGCCCUAAUGGGCAAAAUGGCCUGGUUUGCUCCCCUGUCCCUAAUGUAUCAACCUUUAUCACUGCCCUUGGUAGGAAACUCCAUGAAAAGAACUAAACUCUGAUACCCCCUUCAUCUCUCAUAUUAGCAUUUCCACUCCGGGGAAAAUAUGCUGGUUACCCACUCUGCCAUAUCACCUCCCUCCCUCAUUCGCUCCAAAGAGAAAACCCUUAGUUUGCUCAACCUUUCCUCAUAUCUCAUGCUCACUAAUUCAGACAGUAUCCUGAUAAAUCUCCUCUGCACCCUCUCUAAAGCUUCUACAUCCUUCAACUGAACACCACAUUCCAAAUGUGGUCAACAUUGUUACUGCCCGUUACACCUCUGGCGACGGAGGUCCUCCAUCUCUGGCAGUGUUCAGGGCUUCCUCCAUCAUGUCAGUAGUUUCCAUAGAACCACAGAACACUACAGCACAGUACAGGCCCUUCAAUCCUCCAUGUUGUGCCGACCCAUAUAAUCCUUCAAAAAAGUACUAAACCCACACUACCCCAUAACCCUCCAUUUUUCUUUCAUCUAUGUGCCUGUCCAAGAGGCUCUUAAAUACCCCUAAUGUUUUAGCCUCCGCCACCAUCCCUGGCAAGUCAUUCCAGGCACUCACAACCCUCUGUGUAAAAAACUUAUCCCUGAUGUCUCCCCUAAACUUCCCUCCCUUAAUUUUGUACAUAUGCCCCGGUGUUUGCUAUUGGUGCCCUGGGAAACAGGUACUGACUAUCCACCCUAUCUAUGCCUCUCAUAAUCUUGUAGACCUCUAUCAAGUCCCCUCUCAUUCUUCUACGCUCCAAAGAGAAAAGUCCCAGCUCCGCUAACCUUGCUUCAUAUGACUUGUUCUCCAAACCAGGCAACAUCCUGGUAAAUCUCCUCUGCACCCUCUCCAUAGCUUCCACAUCCUUCCUAUAAUGAGGUGACCAGAAUUGAACACAAUAAGUGUGGUCUCACCAGAGAUUUGUAGUGUUGAAACAUGACCUCUCUGCUCUUGAACUCAAUCCCCCCGUUAAUGAAGCCUAGCAUCCACAGGCCUUCUUAACUACCCUAUCAACCUGUGCAGUGACCUUGAGGGAUGUAUGGAUUUGAACCCCAAGGUUCCUUUGUUCAUCCACACUCUUAAGUAACUGACCAUUAAUCCUGUCCUCAGUCUUCUGGUUUGUCCUUCCAAAAUGCAUCACCUCACACUUGUCCAGAUUGAACUCCAUCUGCCAUUUUUCUGCCCAACUCUGCAGCCUGUCUAUAUCCUCUUGUAACCUUUGACCACCUACAGCUCCAUCCACAACUCCUCCAAUCUUCGUGUCAUCUGCAAACUUACUUCCUCUACAUCCAGGUCAUUUAUAAAAAUCACAAAUAGCAGGGUCCCAGGACAGAUCCCCGCGGCACUCCACUAGUCACCGACCUCCAGGCAGAAUACCUUCCUUUCACAACUAUCCUCUGCUUUCUUCCUUUAUGCCAAAUUUUAUCCAAACAUUCAAGGUUCCGCUUAUCCCAUGCCUCAUUACUUUUUGGAUGAGUCUCUCAUGAGGGACCUUGUCAAAUGCUUUGCUAAUGUCUAUGUAGACCACAUCCACUGCUCCACCCUCAUCAACUUCUUUUGUUACUUCAAAAAGCUCAAUCAGGCUCGUGAGGCACGCUCUUCCCUUCACAAAGCCAUGUUGACUAUCCAUGAGUAGACUGUACUUCUCCAAAUGCUCAUAGAUCCUAUCCUUAAGAAUUUUUUCCAGUAGUUUGCAUACCAUCGAUGUAAGACUCACCAGUCUAUAGUUCCCAGGUUUCUCCCUAUUACCUUUUUUAAAUGAGGGAAUUACGUUUGCCAUUCUCCAGUCCUCUGACACUUCUCCUGCAGCCAAAGAGGAUUCAAAAAUCAUAGCUAAUGCUCCUGCGAUCUUGUCUCUCAAUUCUCACAACAACUUGAGGUGUAUCAUAUCCAGCCCUGGGGAUUUAUCGAUCUUAAUGUUUUUAAGAAGAUCCAGCAAUUCUUCCUUAAUCUCCACAUUGUCCAGCACACAGGCCCUCUCUACUUUGACCUCAUCCUGAUCAAGAUCCUUUUCACUUGUGAAUACUGAGGCUACAUCCACACUAGACCAGAUAAUUUUGAAAACGCCGGUUUUGUGUAAAAACGAUAAGCAUCCGCACUAUGCGUUUUUGGAAAUAUCUCUAUCCACAUUAAAACGGAGAUUUCGGCAAAUCUCAUCCUCUUGCGCAUGUGCAGGACACAUCUACCGAAAAGAAGCGACAUGUUUGGUGUCGAAUCUCACCGUAAAAGUGCGCGUUUCUGUAGUUACAGACUAGAAAAACAUAAAACGAUGGACAGCUGUUGGCUCUCGCACAGGAGGACUUAAAACUAAAAAAAAAUACUGGAGUGUAUGGAGGCAGCCAACAGGGAAUUCACGGACAGAUUGACCCGGCUGAUGACGAACAUUGAAAAACUGACUAACUCUGUUGCAUUAAUAAAGUCCCUUGUUAAAUGUGUAAAACAUGUCUGCA